AUUGAACGCUGGCGGUAUGCUUAACACAUGCAAGUCGAACGAGUAGCUACUUCGGUAGCGAGCGUGGCGGACGGGUGAGUAACGCGUAGGAAUCUGCCUCGUAGUGGGGGACAACUUGGGGAAACUCAAGCUAAUACCGCAUACGCUCUACGGAGGAAAGCGGGGGACCUUCGGGCCUCGUGCUAUGAGAUGAGCCUGCGUGGGAUUAGCUAGUUGGUGGGGUAAAGGCCUACCAAGGCGACGAUCCCUAGCUGGUCUGAGAGGACGAUCAGCCACACUGGGACUGAGACACGGCCCAGACUCCUACGGGAGGCUG
rnacentral:rRNA from 1 species